rnacentral:rRNA from 1 species
CGGAGGUGCAAGCGUUAUCCGGAUUCACUGGGUUUAAAGGGUGCGUAGGAGGGCAGGAAGUCAGUGGUGAAUCUCCGGGCUUAACUCGGAAACUGCCGUUGAUACUACUUGUCUUGAAUAUCGUGGAGGUGAGCGGAAUAUGUCAUGUAGCGGUGAAAUGCUUAGAUAUGACAUGGAACACCAAUUGCGAAGGCAGCUCACUACACGAAUAUUGACUCUGAGGCACGAAAGCGUGGGGAUCAAACAGGAUU